CAACUGCGGCAAAUGAUCGCGGCUUAGUAUGAUCUUUCAUAGUAAGGUGAGGAAAGUCCGGGCUUCACAGGGCAGGAUGCCGGAUAACGUCCGGUGGAGGCGACUCCAAGGCCAGUGCAACAGAAAUAUACCGCCGGCAAAGAUUUCUUUGUUCCGGUAAGGGUGGAAAGGCGGUUUAAGAGACCACCGCCUCCGAGGUAACGAGGAGGGCACAUGUAAACCCCAUCCGAAGCAAGACCAAACAGAGAACGACAGACUUGCCCGGUCUGUUCUCAGGUAGGUCGCCUGAGGCUGUCGGUAACGACAGUCCUAGAUAGAUGAUCAUUCGUACUGUCAUGAGAAUGGCAGCGCCGACAUAACCCGGCUUAUCGCUGCGGUUGCCAU
rnacentral:RNase_P_RNA from 1 species